GCCGAGCUGGUGGAAUGGCAGACACGAUGGACUCAAAAUCCAUUGCCUUCACGGGCGUGCAGGUUCAAGUCCUGUGCUCGGUA
rnacentral:tRNA from 1 species